rnacentral:rRNA from 1 species
AUACGGAGGGUGCAAGCGUUAAUCGGAAUUACUGGGCGUAAAGCGCUCGUAGGCGGUUUGUUAAGUCGGAUGUGAAAGCCCCGGGCUCAACCUGGGAACUGCAUUCGAUACUGGCAGACUAGAGUAUGGUAGAGGGAAGUGGAAUUCCAGGUGUAGCGGUGAAAUGCGUAGAUAUCUGGAGGAACAUCAGUGGCGAAGGCGACUUCCUGGACCAAUACUGACGCUGAGGUGCGAAAGCGUGGGGAGCAAACAGGAUUAGAAACCCCAGUAGUCC